rnacentral:lncRNA from 1 species
GCAAUGUCCCCUUCUCCAGAAAAAGCAGAUACUGCUUAGAAAUUGUUCACCAUUGCCACUGUUCACAUCUUUUUGCAUGAAUUACAUGUGUUGAGCAGAUGAGGCAAGGCCCAUGUACAUAUAUGUGACAUUUUACAUUGGCUCUGGGUCGAGUAGAUAUAGGUGUGAUCUGACCUGUCUUCUAUUGCUGUCUUAAAAGGUACUGUUACACUCCUACAUUUAAAGAAAGUGGUCUCUGUUAUGGUGUAAAAACUAAUCUGGAGGGUAAGAUAAUAAGAUAUAUAUAGGAUGUGUGCAAGUAAAACAUAAGAAAUGCAACAAGCACAUUCCAACCUUUGACAAGUCUUAACGGAGCAGCUUUUAAGGUUUUCAAUUAAGCAGUGCUCAAACAAUCAUCUUCCCCUGCAGCUUUGGUAUAGGGGCUGUGCUUUCAUUUGGUCACUUACAGCGAUUCUUUCACUUUUAUGCGAGGAUAUAACAUACUGCUACUAAAUUCCUUGAAUGUGAACAUUCUGUUCACAUUUGAACAGACGGCAUGUCACGGACAGCAGAACACCACUUUGUUGCAUUACCUCUCUAAGAAAGAUGGUUCAAGUGUUUGCCUUCAGACAGCCAGCUAUAAGGUCCUUGGCAGGGGAUUUCCCACCGCACCCUACAACCAUUCCUCGCCCCGUCUCCUAAAAAGCGGCACGUCGGAAGGAAAGUGAUCAGUUGAAAGUACUGCUCCAGUUUAGGCAGUAAGCCAUAAAAUCAUUUACUCUUUUAUUAAUUUUUUUUUUCUGUAUGCCAUUUUCUCAAGUCUCAUUGACUGAAAUUUUAAUUUUCCAUUCAUGUAGCACGAGCACAAUGUUAUAGGUGUUAUUGUGCGGUGAUCUUAAGCUUAUGAUGUGGUGUGGAUGCCAAAAUGAACCUGUGCCGUUGGCUUUGAGCAUUGUAUUACGAAGGAGAUGGCAGCUGAAGGGGUGCAGUAUUCGUGGCUUUACUGCCGGAAGAGCUUGAGAGCUUUGAACGAAACCAGAUCUUUACAUAAGGCAAGCACCCCCCCCCCUCACCCUCCUCCUAAGGCUUACAGAAUCUUCCAUUGCUGGUUAGAGUAGCAUGGCAUUAGCUACUGCUUUCUGCUUGAAAAGCGCAGUAGUGACUGAGAUGGAGAAAUGUUUUUGACAAGUGCCUCCUGUGCAUUGCUGCACAGAAACCAUGUUUCUGCCAAAAUUAGCAGCUUGUCUGUCUUAGAUGUAAUAUAAGGAAAGCAGCCAAGAAAGGAUUAAAAAAAUAAAGCAAGCUCUCAGGUGAAUGUUCUCGAGCAUAUAUUUUUCCCCCACCUGAUCUUGUUGUUCCUGGAGAAUCUACACGCAUGUUUGUUUUUUUCUUAUUGCCAAGUUUUAUCGCUGUAUUAUCGGUGCUACAAGGAUCCCGAACUGGUAUUUGUUCUUUGGGAUUUUUCGCACCCCUCUCUCUCUCUCUUUCUCUUGUUCUCGUGUACCUUUUUGUACAAGCCUUUAGUGUGUCUGAGAGAGAACUGUGUAAAUUUAGCUAGUAAAUACAAAAAGUGUUAUUAUCGCUGUCUAUUGUAGGCAAGAAAAGAACUAUUAGAAGUGUAAAAUGAAAAGGAGAUUGGUGUUUUGGUGCAGUGAGCAUUUUUUUGGCGCAUGAGAAGGGUUAGAGAGAUUGGCCGCAGACUUUUUUUUUUUUGUGUUGGUGCGGCUCUUCUCUGUUUGACAGUGUGCCAUCUAUGACAAGUCUGGAAAUAAAUUUUAUCUGCAGAGA